rnacentral:rRNA from 1 species
UAGGGAAUCUUCCACAAUGGACGCAAGUCUGAUGGAGCAACGCCGCGUGAGUGAAGAAGGUUUUCGGAUCGUAAAGCUCUGUUGUUGGUGAAGAAGGAUAGAGGCAGUAACUGGUCUUUAUUUGACGGUAAUCAACCAGAAAGUCACGGCUAACUACGUGCCA